GGUUAAGUGACUAAGCGUACAUGGUGGAUGCCUUGGCAGUCAGAGGCGAUGAAGGACGUACUAACCUGCGAUAAGCCGUGAGCAGUCGGUAAGAGACAUUACGACUCACGGAUUUCCGAAUGGGGAAACCCACUUAGCAUAAGCUAGGUAUCGCUGCGUGAAUACAUAGCGUAGCGAGGCGAACCGGGAGAACUGAAACAUCUAAGUACCCCGAGGAAAAGAAAUCAACCGAGAUUCCCUCAGUAGCGGCGAGCGAACGGGGAUUAGCCCUUAAGCGUCUUGGAAGUUAGUGGAACGGUCCUGGAAAGGCCGGCGAUACAGGGUGAUAGCCCCGUACACGAAAACAACCUUGAUGUGAAAUCGAGUAGGGCGGGACACGUGACAUCCUGUCUGAAUAUGGGGGGACCAUCCUCCAAGGCUAAAUACUCCUGACUGACCGAUAGUGAACCAGUACCGUGAGGGAAAGGCGAAAAGAACCCCUGUGAGGGGAGUGAAAUAGAACCUGAAACCGUGUACGUACAAGCAGUGGGA
rnacentral:rRNA from 1 species